GGAGCGUAUGCAGGAGGACAGGCCGGGCUGGUGGACAGAAGGACCCUAAAGGGGGAGAUACAGGACCGUCUCCCGGGACACAUGUCCCGGGACUCGCCAGCGUCCCCCGUUCACAGCCAGCCUUGAAGUGCGCGCGCUCUCCCACUCAGUCACCAUUCAUGGUGAGACGUUCACACGCACACCGUCUUUGGAUCUUCACGCCUCUCCCUUCCCGGGUCCCGACGCCUCCGGCCUGGGGAAGCGUCACUCCCGGCCCCCUCACCCGCCCGACAAGCUGGAAGGGUGGACGCUCAGCCCGGGACAGGCAGGGGCAGCUGGUGUCUGGGGAGGAAGGCAGCUGCGUCCCUGGUCCCAGCCAUUCCCCUCCUCGCCUCCUCCUCUCCCCAGGACCCCCGGCCCGGGCUCGCAGCGCGAUGGAAUUCCCCCAGCGGUGCCCCCCCCCCCAACCUGGCGGGGGAGGGGGAGGGGAGCAGGCCCAGGCAGGCGUGGGGGGAAAUUCCCCGCCCCCUCCCCCUGGGCCCAACUCCUCCGAGUCCUCUGAUCUCCCAGCAGCGCCCGCCGGCUGCCCCAAGGGCUUGGGGGGAGGCCAGCGCAGUUCUUGUCUCCAGGGCUGCUUCCUACUGAGAGCUGGCGAGGGAGAAUAUUCUGUGCUUCUCAUCGAGCUUCUGGUGCCUUGUUGGCUGUCUUGGCAUUCCUUGGCUUGUAGAAGCCACCCAUCACACCGAUCUCGGCCUUCAUCUUCACGUGCGUCUCUCUGUGUGAGCACCUGUGUCCAAAUUUCCCCUUUUAAUAAGGACCGCAGCCAUACUGGACUAGGGGCCACCCUAGUUUGACCCUGUCUAGACUAAUCACAUCUGGAGUGAUCCAUUUCCAAAUAAAGUCACAUUCUAAGGUU